UUCUAUUUGGUUUGAUGAAAUUAAUUCGCCUUUGGUCUCUUUUGUGGUGUCUCCGGAACUUGGAUUGAAUCAGGUCAUGUUGCUUUCUGGUCUCUAUCAGAUGGGCCCGUGGUUGCUUUGUGUCUUUUGAUAUGGUAUCAAAUCAUGACCUGUGAUGCGCUGUGGCGUAUGAAGGCGAUUAUUCCAUCAUCAAUCAACUCAGAGAUUACAACUGGCAAGAGAUCAUUUUUGGAGAGCAUAACCUGGCAAGAGGACACGAUGAGUGUGCACGCAGUUCCUCCUAUUUCUUUGAGGAAAUCACCGAGCAGGCUUGUACAUAUUUUAUGAAUGCAUUGCCUGAAGCUUAUGGCAUCUUGUUUGCUGGGAAAUCUGGAGAGCGGAAUCUGCUCCCCGUCUCAAGCCAUCUCCGUCAUCACAGACGAGGCCACCCACUGGAACCAACCUGGUGGCUCCAUUCUCUUUGAUCCUGGCUGAGUGCGUUUGCACCAGUGUUUGUACAGAAAAGGUUGUUCCUCAUGGUGUAGGCAUCCAGUGUCUACCUUUUGUCUUCCCCUUCCGUUUCUCUUUUGUUCGGUUUUGCAGUUGUGCUUGGCCAUCCUGGCCGAGAUCAAUGGAAUCUUAGCAGCUCUCCUGCUGACAUAAAAAGAAUGUAGCGAUGGAAAAAGGUUUGUACAUAUCAUGCGACUGAACUGAUGGAAGGGCAGUGCAAUGUUUUUGAUGCUUGCACUUGCCCCUGUAGAAAAUCAAUGUGUGCAUACUUGUAAUUGCAAUGAUACAGGGGUGUAUUAUAAGGUUUGAGCCCAGCUCAUAUGGUGGACCUGGGUUUUGGUCAUUUUAACUUGUUCAACAAGGUAUGUGCAAUAUUGCUGGUUUACUAGCAUAUUUUUUUACCGUGUUGUCUACUUACAAUGGCGAGUAGCAUUUUUUUGUCCCCUUGACAGAGUCGUUCAUUUCCUUUGAUUAGUCGCAGCAGGAGCCACAAAGUCAGCUAAAAACAAAACAAGAUAAAAAAUUGUGAGUUGUAAGUUGUAACCAGCUAAGCCAUCAGCAGAGCAUCCCAUGGUUCCAUAAUGCGAAAACCAGCUCACCACACCACCGAACACAUGUUGAGCAAUCAGCACAAAGGGGGACCCAAAAGGCAACAAGACAACUGCCAGCGCUCCAUCUAUCUCUCCCAACAGCUGAUAAUUUAACCCUAACCAAACAGUAGCCAGCGAAGCGGCCGGCCAGAAGGAUUACAGCUACAAACCUUUGUUUCCAAGCCAAAGUCUCAAGUCACUACAUCUAACAAAGAAAAUAUCCAAAGUCUCUAACUCCAAGUACUAGUGCUAUAUAUAACCCCCCAAAUGAUCUCUCCUACUUCAUCCAAGAUCACAAGCCUGACAACAUCUCCAGUUCCCUCCCAGCAUCGGAGUCAUCUUUGCUUGUUCAUUGCAGCAGCAUCCGUCGAGGAAGCAAAUGGCGGUUACUCUGAAGCUCAGGAUCCUCGCCGUGGCGGCAGCCGCCGCCGUCAUGGUCGGCACGGUCUCCGCGGCCGAUGGACCAGCUCCCGCGCCUGCCUCUGGCGCAUCGGCUGCUGCCCCGGCUGUCGCCAUGGCGUCCCUGACCGCGCUCGUCUUCGGCUACUUCUUCUGAGGCCAUGUACUCGUGCGCGCAGUUAUUUGGGAUUUUUCUUUGGUUCGUCUCGUGUUCAUACAUGAUAUGAGUACAUAUUGUAAAUUACAUCUUCUUUUCUAUUUCUAAUAGAAAAAUUGUUGGGUACACACAUUUGUUUAUUUGAUAAAGGAUGCUUUUUAUAAUGUAAGAUGAAAGGGAUACAAACACAAAAUGUUUACCCUUAAAAAACCAACACAAUAUGUACACACACCAUCCUAUUCCUGUUCUCUCUUCUCUCUCUUACACCCCCACUAUUGCUCACACGCCUCUGCAUUAUUAGUAUACACACAAUCAAUACCUACACACAAACAAAUGGUCACACCAGCAAAUAUAUAGCAAAAGUCAUAUAAGAUAGAAGAUAUGUGUAAAUGAAGGAAAUUAAGAAUAUAAAAGAAAAGGAGCAACGAUGAACCACGCCGAGUAGCUGCUAAUCCAACAAAUAUGAUGCAAAUGCACACAAUCCAGACAUGGACAGAAUAACCACACUCAAGGAUCUUCCCAAUGCCCUCAACCAGCUCUCUGCCCUUGAUGCAAGUAACUGGAACCUGUUGAACUCGGGCCUUCAUUGUUCUAAUCCCGAAGAAAGAGAACGCUCUGCGCCCUGCUGAUUAUCGCCCAAUAAGUCUCUCUCACAGUGUUGCCAAGAUUUUGGGAAAGCUGCUUGCUAAUAGACUGGCACCUGCUAUGCAACAUCUUAUCUCUCUCAGUCAAAGUGCUUUUAUCAAGGGAAGAUCGAUCCAAGAUAAUUUUUUGUAUGUUCAGAAUCUCAUCCAGAGUUUGCACCGGGCCAAGAAAGGGGCAAUCUUUCUGAAACUGGAUAUAGCUAAAGCUUUUGACUCCAUUCGUUGGGAUUACCUGCUUGAGGUGCUUUGUACCAUGGGUUUUGGACAGAGAUUUCGGGAUUUGAUUGCAAUUGUGCUGAGCUCAACCUCCUCCAGAGUGCUCCUCAAUGGCGACCCGGGGCUCCCUUUCUACCACCGUUGUGGCUUGCGCCAAGGCGAUCCCCUGUCGCCUUUCCUUUUCUUGCUCGCUAUUGAGCCACUGCAGCGUAUCUUUGCGUCUGCAACGGACACUGGGAUUCUCAAGCCUAUUGCUCAUAAUCUCGCCUCCAUCAGAGUCAGCCUCUAUGCCGAUGAUGCCGCGCUUUUUCUGAACCCGUGCAAGCAUGAGAUGGCGGCCACUCAAGCAAUUCUAAAUGCUUUUGGGAGGAUCUCUGGGCUCUUCACCAAUUUCAGCAAAUCAUCGGCCUUCCCUAUCUGCUGUGAUGAACUGACAAUCAGUGAAGCACUUUUGGAUUUUGCAGGAACUGUUGACUCCUUCCCCUGCAAGUAUCUCGGGCUCCCUCUCAGCCUUGGCAAGCUAAGGCGCGCUGACCUUCAAUUGUUGAUUGAUAAAAUCGCUGCCAAGUUGGCAGGUUGGAAAGGGAAAUUGUUGAACAAAGCGGGAAGGCUGACGCUGAUCAACUCUGUCCUAACCUCUUUCACCACCUAUAUUUUGACCUUGUUCGCUCCCAGCAAAUGGCUGAUCAAGAGGAUUGAUAAACUCAGGAGAAGUUUCCUUUGGAAAGGCUGUGAGGAAGAAGCCAAAGGUGGAAGCUGUGCAGUAAACUGGCAGGUCGUUUGCUCACCAAAGAAGUAUGGUGGUCUUGGAAUAAAAAAUCUAUCCUUUUUCAGUAGGGCUCUCAGGCUGCGGUGGGCAUGGUUCGCGUGGCAAAGUCUGCCUCGGCCAUGGCUAGGCAUGAAGCUUCCUUGCUCGGACGUCGACAUGAAGCUCUUCAAUGCCUCGACCAUCAUCCACCUUGGCAAUGGGCAGACUGCAAGUUUCUGGCACUCAAAGUGGCUGAGCGGAGCCGCCCCCAAGGACCUUGCACCCUCCCUGUUCAAACUGGCUCGCAGGAAAUCCUACACAGUCGCCCAGGCACUUCAUGGUAGCAAGUGGAUGAAAGGACUUGAGAGAAUCAGCUCACACAAUGAUCUGCACUCCUUUCUGCUGCUAUGGGAGAAAAUUCAGAAUGUCGACUUGUCUGACGCCAGCGAUGCCAUCGAGUGGAUUUGGACGAAGGACAAGUCUUACUCUGCUAGCACGGCCUACUCCUGUCAAUUCACUGGCUCCAUCGCCAAACCUGAGCUUGACCUGAUCUGGAGGCUGAAGAUUGAGAGAAAGUUGCGUUUUUCCCUUUGGACAUUGGCUCAAAACAGACUCCCAACCACUGACAGGCUCCGUGCCCAUGGGGGUGACCAGAGUGCGACGUGUGCCCUCUGUCUUCAACAACCUGAAACAGCGCUCCACCUCUUCAACUCUUGCGUCUUUUCCAAGGUUGUUUGGUCCAAGCUAUGUUUGGCGCGGCCAGGAUGCUGCCCUACUCUGCCUGCUAAUCUUUCGUCGAUCUCUCAAUGGUGGAGGGCCUGCUCCCGGCAUACUAAAGAGCAUGCCGCGGCCGCUGCCUACUUCGCUUGGCAUAUUUGGAAUAAAAGGAACAGGAGGAUUUUCAAUGCCAAAUCAACCUCAGCGGACGGUGUGCUCUCGUUGAUCAAACAUGAUUUAGAUAUAUUGAGAGUAGCGUUUUAGUCUCCCCUUUUUGUACAGGCAGCGUCUACUGAUGACUGCUUAAUUCCUUGUAUAUUCCUAAUCUUUAAUGAAAAGGCAGAGCACCUGCCGUUCGAGUCAAAACAUAAAUAAAAAACCGUCCCGAACACAAGCAAGCAGCCCAGCCGUCAAGAGCUAUCUACGUAGCCAAGAACAUUCGUCGACACAGCUGUGGCGUAGUUCAUAGAUCAAUUGGGAGAGAGGAUGGUACCGCCAAGAUUCCACACUAAAGACCGUUGGAGUAUAAUGUCCGGUCCUCUUUCAUAUUUCAAACUUUUAGAUGAGCUGGGUGGAGUAUGAUAUCCGAACCAAGAGGUCUUAAAUUCAAGACCCCGUCAAAGCAGUAUAUUAAAAAAAGAUUCCCCGGCCUACAUCAAUCGAACGUCUAAGAAUUAAAAAUAAAGAACUAAAUUAGGCUAGAUGUGAGGGGGAUAAUGUUCGACCCUCUCCCAUAGUUUGGGCUUUUAAAUGAGUCGGCUGGAGCAUGAAUUCAAUAAAGACUCUCAGGCGUAAAUCUGGACAUCUAGUUCUAACUGACCGGUUCUUUGUUUUACUUUGUUGGAUAUGUUGGAUUUAUUCUUCCAAUUUUCAACUUGUCGAUGAUGGUGCCUAGCUUUCUCGAGCGACCGCACAAUGUGCGUCCUUUGCUUCAGAGGGAGUAAAUUGCAGAAAACCACCACUUCGAAGGCUAGGUUAGCAGAAAAUACUAUGCUACAUUUUGUUUUGCAGAAAACACCACGUCUUGUGUAAUUUUAUUGCAAAAAUCACUGAUCGACGGAUCUGACUCUGUUAAGUGAGUUUAUGAUAGGUGGGUCCCGUUUUUUGCCUACAUGGCGUAACCAGCGGUCCCGACCGCUGUUAGAGCGGUAGACGGCACCGUUCGGGCCAAAUCCAUUUCUCGUGGUCGUCGGCCUGAGCCGGGUGGGAUGGAUGUCGUGUGGUCAUCGGCUUGAGCCCGCCGCCUCGCCCGUGCUCUUUGAUGGGCUCUACGAGAGCCUGUCGAUGCCCGCGCGCAAUCACGUAGGAGGAGGCCAGCGGCAGCCGGCUCUGCACCAUCUCUAGCACGUCGCCCGAGAGCAACAUCAGGGACGACGUCGAUCCCUCCGCCACUGCAUCAUCCUCAACCUCCAGCACCUGACUGAGGCACGCGACGACGGCGGUGGUGUGCUUCUUCAGCCAGCCCGCACCAGAGGGAUGGGGAUGGGGCCCCUAGAUCUGGCGCCGGGCAGUGGGGGGAGACCGAGGCCACUCGGACCUCGCGCCGUCCUCCACUUCACCGCACUCAGUGAGGCCGCGUCCCCAUCCACAAGCGCGCUCUCGAAGCAGUGGUACGAGCUACGGUGCUCCUCGGGUGCCAUGAACCUGCGUGCGUCCCCGAGCCCAGGUUCGAGUUCAUGGGUGAGGAACAGAGCACGAACCACAUAUCGCUUUUCCUUUUCUUUUUUCUUCCAAUCUUCUAAUGACGUGUGGACCCCACACGACCACACAUGAUUAUCAUAACGUUCCUAGACGUUGUCGUUACAAGUGAGAUGUUAAGCGGUGCCACGAGGCCCCGACUGUCAUAAACAUGCUCAACCGAGCCUAAUCCGCCUAUCAGUGUUAUUUGCAAAAAGAUUACACUAGAUAUGGUGUUUUCUGCAAAAGAAUUGUAGUGUAGUGUAAUUUACUCCUCCAAAAAAAGACCAAGAUGGAAUUCAACCUAAAUUUGGAACAAUCGCCAUAGGAAUAUAAAUUGUAUGCAGCAACCAAGUAAAUGCAAAUAUAACAUUGAUAUGGUACGAUGAGUUCCUCAAAUCAAAUAAGUAAUGUGUUCGCUCUUCGCUGUCGCUGGUUGAUACUCGAUCCUGAAUAUUUUUGUCAUUUUUUCAGCCCCGAAAUUUUCACUAGCUCAGCUCUCAAUAGCUAAAAUUUCAUAGUAAUAUUUUGCGUAAGUAUUUUCUGGGUUGCCAGUUCCACUUGCUAUACUUACGCGAAAAUUUAGUCUUGCUCAUACUAAAAGUGUUUCUCACAAUCUUACUAACUGGUAAGUACACAGCUGAAAAAAAAGACCCCCCAACCCAGAAGAUUUUGUACUAAUGGUCAUUUUGCAAGAACGCUGAGAGGAUUUUGCAGUACGAAAAAUCCAAAACAAAAACGACCUAACAAAGAGGAAACCUAUAAACGAAAGGGAAAUGCUAGACACACGGACCCUUUACGGGGUUUUUACACGGUGGUUGAGGAUUGACUGGUUGAGAUUAAAUUAAAUGAGGCGGGCCCGCCAGUGAAACUCAAGGGGGGACAAUUAGAUGUGGGAACGCAAGGCUGCCCGUGAAAGUCCGUCGCCAGCGUCCGUGCGUGUAGUAUUAUUCUAGACGAAAAUCUGAAUCAAAUACAAUGAACAGUAUAAAAAAUUUACCAAUACCGAGCGGAGUGCUGUUUUCGCAAUGUUGCAGAGAAGAUUUUGCAACAAUGGUCAUUUUCGCAGUCUAGGGAAAUUUUCGAGCAGAGUAAUGAGUACGGUUAUUUACUAUGCAGAAGCUCAAGUCUCGAUAGAGGAUUUUCUAGCGGAGCCGGUUUAUACCAGUGUCCUACUAGCUAAUUAAAGUGUGCCAUGUGUUCAUCUACACAUACCAGAUACGAAGUAUUUCAUUCAUUUCCUUUAUCAUAGAGAAACACUUGCAAUAUACAGUCUGAUCAGAAGCAAUGAGUUAUUGAUUAGAAACACUUGCUUGCAUAUUGUCCCUGUAGAAAAUCAUUGUGUGCAUAAUUGUAAAUGCAAUGAUAUACAGGGGUGUAUUAGGUUUGAGCCCAGUUCAUAUGGUGGACCUGGGUUUUGGUCAUUUUAACUUGUCGGAUAUCUGGUUCAUC
rnacentral:lncRNA from 1 species